GGAGGAGUGCCCGAGAGGCUAAAGGGGGCGGACUGUAAAUCCGUUGACUGAGUCUACAGUGGUUCGAAUCCACUCUCCUCCA
rnacentral:tRNA from 1 species